GAGUGGGUUGUCCUAGGCUACGCAGCCGCCGCCGAAGCGAUCAUGGUGAUCCUCCUAACGAUGCCUGGACUCGACGCGCUCCGCAAAGGCUUGAUCGCCGUCACGCGCAACCUCCUGAAGCCGUUCCUCUCGAUCAUCCCCUUCUGCCUCUUCCUCCUCAUGGAUAUCUACUGGAAGUACGAGACUCGUCCCUCCUGCGACGGCGACUCGUGCACCCCUUCCGAGCACCUCCGUCACCAGAAGUCGAUCAUGAAGUCCCAGAGGAACGCGCUCCUGAUCGCGUCGGCGCUUGUGUUCUACUGGAUUCUGUAUUCCGUUACGAAUCUUGUGGUUAGGAUCGAGCAGCUUAACCAGAGGGUUGAGAGGCUUAGGAAGA
rnacentral:lncRNA from 1 species